GCAGCUCAUUUUCUUUGUUUUUAACUGCCGAACUGUUUAUCAGUAAUGCCUUGUAGCGUCUGUCGGUGGUCGGUGUGCAAACUCCCACAGAGAGGUUUUCAUGGUGUGUGUAUGCAGGCUCACUAUACAGAUGCUAUCUACACGCUUGCUGGAUAAUCAUCAUCUCAAAUCUUGAGCUUUAAUUACAAGGGAUAAUGUUGUUAAUCCACUGUUCCCAAAUUUGGCCACCUGCUUGUGCAGCCUGUUUGUGCAAUGGUAACUGGAGGCUGUGGAAGCCCUGCUCAGUGGUACUUGGAUGACUCCUUACCUUUGGCAGUGUCAAGUUAGGUGUUAGGCUGUUAAAAUGGGGGGAAAAAAACCAAUAUCAGGGUCACACAUUUACCGUACAGUCCUAAAAUGAGUCUUGGAUUAUUCACAGAUGCCUAAACACCAGCUGUUAACCUGAUUUUUGCAUGCGCUUCCCUAAUGUAAACUGACAGAGAAGAUGCAGAUUCCACAACACAAAUUCAAUAAAUGUUAUAUUCAAGUGUAUAAUUAAAGUAUUACUAAAAAUGAAGCUGCAGAAGACAUUCCUAGCUUGCUGCAUGAGAAUCCUGCAGAAGUUGAGACUUAGUGCGAAGUUCCAUCAAACUCUGGCAGAGUGCAUUAAGUUUUCAGCAUGGCUUUUAUUUGGCAGGUUGCUUGUCUGUGUAUGAUGUGUUGCCUCAUGGCUCUGCAGAAUGCAGGAUAAAUGGUAUAAUGAAGCCAGUGGCCUUAUACCAUGACAGCUGUUAGAUCCCAAGGAGUCUCACUGCCUCUUACAGUUACAUGGAUGUGGAUUUCUCCUCCUGUGAGAAGAUUUGGAAGAGCUAGAAGCAUACCGAUAAAUACUCUUGGGUGACAACAGGCAACAGCUCUAAGAUAAGAACCAAAUGGUUUUGCAGUCUGUGGUUUUUAUAUUUUGGUUGUCACUGUUUUGUGAUGUGACACUGGUACAAUCCAAUGGCUUGCACAUACACAACACAGCAAAGAAAAAGAGUGACACCAUGUGGUGUUCAUACGUGCAGUGGAGGUAGCGCUGUCAGUAUCUGCCUUCUGGAAAGUACAUAAGCCACAAAUUCCAAGCUUCAUCCUCAGAAACAGUGAAAGAAGUAGUUGAGGAAAUCUGUUAAAGACACUGAUAAUGCUGAGGAAGAAUCAGAAAGAGCAAGGAGAGAAAUAGGAAUAGCCAUAAAGGGUGAUACCCACAGAAAGCCAUGAAGAAACGAGACAGGAAAGCUGUCAAGAAAACCCUGCAGCUAGCACAGCUCCUGAUGGGUCAAGACUAAACAGCAUGUACAGCACGAAAGAAGAGCAUGGAAGCUUACGUGGAGCUUGGUUGCAUCCUGACUGAUGUUGGCUGUGAGUACUGUCCCACUUUGACCAAAACCCCCCAAAUUUUAAUGCUUUAUUCUUACACUAUUGCUGUCUGUUCUGUUUUAAUUGUAAACCCAACCUAACGUGUUGGGGUUUUUACUGAGUAUUCAGCACCUGGGUGGCAAUCACAGAUGUUCAGUAACAAGCACAGUUUUGUUCCCGAGCAGUCCUUUCCGUAUCAGGUGGUCUUUUGCUCUUCACUUAAAUACCGGGUUUGAAUAUGAUGUGAUGAUAAGUAAUGCUUGUCCUGAAUUCCAUAACAUUAACCAGCUGCUACUUUUCAACUUGAUGUGGUUAAAAGUGACUUUGACCUCUGAUUUCUGUGGAUAGAAUCUAGUGAUAGAAUCAAGUAGUCUGGAUAUAAUCCCUUGGUUUCUCUAGUGGUUCACUUUGUGGUCUUGUGCAGUUACUUAACCUCAUUUCCACAUCUCUACAACUACAAAUUAAAGGCAGUAAUUUUUCAGUACCUUACAAGAAAGUUGUUUAGAGAGCACGGGGGAAUUUCUGUGAUACUUUGAAAACUCAAAAUGUCAGCUGAAUUAUGUCUCUUUUUUAUUAUUAAUAUUGCACUUGUAGUGAAGAGACUUAUAAUCCUUCGAGAUGAAAAAUGCCAUAAAUGCAAGAUUUGUGCUUGAAAAGUUCAAUGAAAAAUUAAGGCAUUUCUGUUUCUC